rnacentral:ncRNA from 1 species
AAAUCAUAAAACUCUAGUAUGAGUUGGGAUCGAAAGAAUUGUUUGUCAAAAAGUGCAUUAGCUAACUUUGUGUUAGCAAUGAUGUUAAAACAUAUGACGCAAGUGUUAUCCGGCAUGGUUGGGCAUAAAGCGCAUAUAUAUGGCUUGAUGUCCGCUGUCAAAUCCUAGGGGUCAGCCUUAUAGGUGGUGGAAACUACAAAUUUGAGUAAAUGGAGGCUAAAUUUUCCAGUAAAGUGAUGAAAUGCGUUAAGAUCGGAAAUAACACCAAUAGUGAAAGCACUUUACUGGACUGAAACUGACGCCAAUAAAUAAAGCUAUGGAUCAACAAAUGGGAUUAAAGACCUCAUUAGUCCUAGUCGUAAAAGAUGGAUAAAAUUGCCGCGUGACUCGACGUAUGCAGUGUUGUAGCUAACACGUUAACUAUCUUGCUUGGCGAGUACGUUCUCAAGAAUGAACCUGAAAGGCCUUAAGCUUCACUUAUAAAGGUGUCAGACUAUGAUCCGUUUACCUUUGGC